rnacentral:rRNA from 1 species
UACAGAGGGUGCUAACGUUGUUCGGAAUUACUGGGCAUAAAGGGUGCGUAGGCGGCUUGUUAAGUCACUGGUGAAAGUUUUCGGCCCAACCGGAAAAUUGCCUGUGAUACUGGCGAGCUCGAGUGCGUGAGGGGUGGGGGGAACGAGCAGUGUAGCGGUGAAAUGCGUAGAUAUUGCUCGGAAGGCCGGAGCCGAAGGGGCCCCACUGGUACGCAACUGACGCUGAGGCACGAAAGCGUGGGGAGCAAACAGG